GACGAACGCUGGCGGCGUGCUUAACACAUGCAAGUCGAACGGAAAGGCCCCUUUGGGGGUACUCGAGUGGCGAACGGGUGAGUAACACGUGAGUAACCUGCCCUUGACUUCGGGAUAACUUCAGGAAACUGGGGCUAAUACCGGAUAGGAAUCCUUGCUGCAUGGUGGGGGUUGGAAAGCUUCGGCGGGUUUGGAUGGACUCGCGGCUUAUCAGCUUGUUGGUGGGGUAGUGGCUUACCAAGGCUUUGACGGGUAGCCGGCCUGAGAGGGCGACCGGCCACAUUGGGACUGAGAUACGGCCCAGACUCCUACGGGAGGCAGCAGUGGGGAAUAUUGAACAAUGGGCGGAAGCCUGAUGCAGCAACGCCGCGUGCGGGAUGACGGCCUUCGGGUUGUAAACCGCUUUCAGCAGGGGCGAAGCUUGUGGUGACGGUACCUGCAGAAGAAGCACCGGCUAACUACGUG
rnacentral:rRNA from 1 species